rnacentral:ncRNA from 2 species
CCAUUGCCGUCUGGAGAGCCGCCACCGCCGUGGCGCACCGAAGGAGCAAACCGCAGGCUGGAGCAGCCCGCGGUGAAUCUCUCAGGUACAAGGACAGGGGGAGCGGC